GACGAACGCUGGCGGCGUGCUUAACACAUGCAAGUCGAACGGGAUAAUUUGAGAGCUUGCUCUUAGAGAAUCUAGUGGCAAACGGGUGAGUAACACGUAGACAACCUGCCGACAGGAUGGGGACAACAUUCCGAAAGGAAUGCUAAUACCGAAUGAAGCGGAGGAGAGGCAUCUCUCCUCCGUGAAAGAUGGCCUCUGAAUAUGCUAUCACCUGUCGAUGGGUCUGCGUCUGAUUAGCUAGUUGGUGAGGUAACGGCUCACCAAGGCGACGAUCAGUAGCCGGUCUGGGAGGAUGAACGGCCACAUUGGGACUGAGACACGGCCCAGACUCCUACGGGAGGCAGCAGUGGGGAAUCUUCCGCAAUGGGCGCAAGCCUGACGGAGCAACGCCGCGUGAGUGAAGAAGGUCUUCGGAUCGUAAAGCUCUGUUGACGGGGACGAACGUGCGAAGGGUGAAUAAUCCUUUGUAAUGACGGUACCUGUCGAGGAAGCCACGGCUAACUACGUG
rnacentral:rRNA from 1 species